AGGACAGGGACACCAGCAUUUUGAAGCUGCAAUGCUAAUAAGGUGCUUGCCAAGAAACCUGAUAAAGAGGUGCCAGAGAGGUGAGAAGAGAACAAAAAAAGGGUGGUGUUCCAAAAUCUAAGGAGGAAGUGGCAAGCUGCUGAAGGAGGGAGUGGUGAACUAUUGAAAAUAGUUGACUUUCUAACUCCGCUGCUGCCAUGGCUCCUGCGAAAAAGCUUGUGGCGAAGGGGGACAAAAAAAAGAAGCGGGUUCUGAAGUUCACUCUUGAUUGCAUCCACCCUGUAGAAGGUGGAAUCAUGGAUGCUGCCAAUUUUGAGCAGUUUUUGCAAGAAAGGAUCAAAGUGAAGGAAAAAGCUGGGAACCUUGGUGGAGGGGUGGUAACCAUCGAAAGGAGCAAGAGCAAGAUCACCGUGACAUCUGUGGUGUCUUUCUACAAAAGGUAUUUGAAAUAUCUCACCAAAAAAUAUUUGAAGAAGAAUAAUCUAUGUGACUGGUUGCGCGUAGUUGCUAACAGCAAAGAGAGUUAUGAAUUACGUUACUUCCAGAUUAACCAGGACGAAGAAGAGCAGGAAGAUGAGGAUUAAAUUUCAUUUAUCAGGAAUAUUUUGUAUGAGUUCUUGAAUAAAACUUGGGAACCAAAAAAAAAAAA